rnacentral:rRNA from 1 species
UACGGAGGAUCCGAGCGUUAUCCGGAUUUAUUGGGUUUAAAGGGUGCGCAGGCGGGAGAUUAAGUCGGUGGUGAAAUUUUGCAGCUUAACUGUAACAGUGCAGUUGAUACUGGGGAGCUAGGAUUUGGUUGCUGUGGGUGGAAUGUGUGGUGUAGCGGUGAAAUGCUUAGAGAUCACACAGAAUAUCGAUUGCGAAGGCAGCUCACAAAGCCAAGAUUGACGCUGAGGCACGAAAGUGUGGGGAUCAAACAGGA